rnacentral:rRNA from 12 species
GAAUGCUGACAUAAGUAACGAUAAAGCGGGUGAAAAGCCCGCUCGCCGGAAGACCAAGGGUUCCUGUCCAACGUUAAUCGGGGCAGGGUGAGUCGACCCCUAAGGCGAGGCCGAAAGGCGUAGUCGAUGGGAAACGGGUUAAUAUUCCCGUACUUGGUGUUACUGCGAAGGGGGGACGGAGAAGGCUAUGUUGGCCGGGCGACGGUUGUCCCGGUUUAAGCGUGUAGGUGUGUGUUCCAGGUAAAUCCGGUUCACUUUAACACUGAGGCGUGACGACGAGGCACUACGGUGCUGAAGCAACAAAUGCCCUGCUUCCAGGAAAAGCCUCUAAGCAUCAGGUAACAUCAAAUCGUACCCCAAACCGACACAGGUGGUCAGGUAGAGAAUACCAAGGCGCUUGAGAGAACUCGGGUGAAGGAACUAGGCAAAAUGGUGCCGUAA